UACGUAGGUGGCAAGCGAUACUCGGAAUCACUAGGCGUAAAGCGCAGGUAGGCGGUUUAGUAAGUCUGUUGUGAAAGCUCCCGGCUUAACUGGGAGAGGUCAACGGAAACUGCUAGGCUAGAGUGCGGUAGAGGUAGCUGGAAUUCCCGGUGUAGCGGUGAAAUGCGUAGAUAUCGGGAGGAAUACCUAUGGCGAAAGCAGGCUACUGGACCGUCACUGACUCUGAUCUGCGAAAGCUAGGGGAGCAAACAGG
rnacentral:rRNA from 1 species